AAGGAUGGGGAAGAAUCUUUUUGGAUUUGAAAACCAAUUUAAGUUGGGGGGAGGGCAGUUAGUUAAUCCCUGCUGUUUCGACGUUACGGAUUGAAUAAGCACCGAUUAAUUUUUGGCAAGCAGCCGCGUUAUAAAGAGGGUGCAAGCUUUUAUGGGAAUUACUGAGUGUAAAGCGUGGUUAGGUGUUUGUUAAGUCGGAUGUGAAAGCCCCGGGUCUACCUGGGAAGUGCAUCCAACACGGGCGAGCAAGAGUACGGUAGAGGGUGGUGGAAUAUCCUGUGGAGCGGUGAAAUGCGUAGAUAUUGGAAGGAACACCAGUGGCGAAGGCGACCACCUGGAGUGAUAUUGACACUGAGGUGCGAAAGCGUGGGGAGCACACUGGAUGAGAUACCCUGGUAGUACAGGCUGUAAUCGAUGUCAUCUAGCCGUUGGAAUCCCUCAGAUAUUAGUGGCGCAGCUAACGCAUUAAGUUGACCGCCUGGGGAGUACGGCCGCAAGGUUAAAACUCAAGUGAAUUGACGGGGGCCCGCACAAGCGGUGGAGCAUGUGGUUUAAUUCGAAGCAACGCGAAGAACCUUACCAGGCCUUGACAUGCAGAGAACUUUCCACAGAUGGAUUGGUGCCUUCGGGAACUGUGACACUGAUGCUGCAUGGCUGUCGUCAGCUCGUGUCUUGAGAUGUUGGGUUAAGUCCUGUAAUGAGCGCAACCUUUGUCCUCAGUUACCAGCACGUUAUGGUGGGCACUCUAAGGAGACAGCCGGUGACAAACCGGAGGAAGGUGGGGAUGACGUCAAGUCAUCAUGGCCCGUACGGCCUGGGCUACACACAUGCUACAAUCGUCGGUACACAGGGUUGCCAAGCCGCGAGGUGGAGCUAAUCUCACAAAACCGAUCGUUGUCCGGAUCGCAGUCUGCAACUCGACUGCGUGAAGUCGGAAUCGCUAGUAAUCGCGAAUCAGAAUGUCGCGGUGAAUACGUUCCCGGGCCUUGUACACACCGCCCGUCACACCAUGGGAGUGGGUUGCACCAGAAGUAGCUAGUCUAACCUCGGGAGGACGGUACCACGGUGGAUCCGCCG
rnacentral:rRNA from 1 species